GCCAUUUGUAAUUGUUUUGUGAUACCGGUAGCAGUGCUUUGUUAUGUCGUUAAUCACGUUUAAUUUAUAUACCGUUUCUAUUAGUGUACAGCCUUAUUUUAUAUAUCAAUCGAUUACCGAAAACGCGAUUUUGACCCGUGAAUGUUCGGAACUCGUAGCAUCGUCUCGUUUAAAAGAUAUUUGCGAAAAUAAAAUUAACGUCCCGGUGUUCCUCAGAGAUGCUUUAUAUUUCGAACUUUCUGCUUAUAUUUUCUUAAUAUCGAUACAUUUCUCGUCUAUUAAUGAUGUUCUAAUUAAUAAUCUUUUAUUGCAUAAUCCCUUUCGAUCGUAUUUCGUUUUAUAUAUAUUAUUAAUGUGUACACGCACAUACACACACACGCGCAUACACCAUACACACACGUUUUUUCAAGAAAUGUAUGAAUUGAGAGAUUACGCAGUUACGCUAAGGAUUUUAUCAACAGUAUUGCAUGAAACGUAUCAUUAAUCAAUGAUUUACCGAUUCUACACUUUAAUGAUUCAAUCUACUACGAUAACAUUCGAUCUAUUACGAGGGAGUCCAGUGUUUUGGAGUCAUCGCAGAACUUCUUAAGUAGUAAGUGCAAAAUUAAAAAUUUCUCUGAGACCCAUCAUGCCGAUAAUGAAAGGUCAAUAUUAUAAUCUAUUUAUAUCACAGGGACCAUUGCUUAAUGUAAUUAAUGUUAAUCUUAUCUUUAAAAUUUCGUAUUGCAUUAUUUUUUCGUAGAGAUAUUCAAAAUACAUAAGAUUAUAAAAUCAUCAAAUUGCAUUACUAUAUUGUUGUAUAAUUAAGAAAAAGAUAAA